ensembl:lncRNA
CUUAGGAAUCAGCAAAAGAUUCACAUCUUUGACAGAAAAAGAAAAUUCUUCAUGGAAGCAAAAAGAAUCUUAUUCCAAGUUUCUCAUAUUGAAAAGGAUGGAAAGCAGUUCUUAAUGAGUGCUUACAAGCUUUAUAGGCAGGCACUGUGUCUGCUUCUCAUUAUCUCUGACACCAAGACAUUUUUCCAGUAAUUUGGUUGGUUUUGACGCUACCCUGAGACACACGCAGCACAGGAAACCAGUGCUGCUCAAGGCUCAGAGAACUUGAACUGGACACUCUCCUAUGGAUCAGACAGAAGAAGGAUUUCCCACCUCCUGAGAAUGAGACAACCAAGAGGUACUAGCAGUAAAAUCAGACAAUUCGCCCUAAAACUGAAUCACUGUUCAGGCCUUUCUCCCAGCCUGGGACCUACAAGCAAAAUAAAACUUCCUAAUUCGAUCAAGACCUAGACAGCUGCUUCUGGCAGGACACAGUUUGGUGUCACACACAAGGUUAGGAAACAGUAGCUCAUGAAAGUUUAAUCUGGAUGCCUAACGUGGCAAUCAGACACAUAACUCCCCAUGCAGCUCUGUCUUAGCCAGCUUGCUCUCCUUUGCCAGACCAGGGAUCUUGCUGAGAAGGUCAUUAGUAUGUUUAGUACCCUGCUGGAAAUAACUAGAGCGUAGAUGAGUGUGUUUCUUUUUAGCUCAGGUAUUCAUUCAGAUGGUGUCCUUGGUACAGCGGCUGCAUUUUCAGGACUGGUGUCCUUGCUAAUUGCUCCUCCUUAUAGUGCACUGCUAUUUCAUAACGUGCCUGUAGUUAUCAGCAAAGCCAAUACUAGUAUUCACAAACUGUUUUGGAAAACUGCAACCAGCAGUGCCUAAGAUAGUUUUUAAUAUUUAGACUAAUUGUUCCCAGUAGAAAAAUGGGAGUGUUUCAGUCUACAGGUCAAAGAUUUAUUUUCCCUCCAUACAAUUACAAUACUAAAAUCGUGUGAACGGUUUCUAAGAAAACAGAAUUGUGAGGUAAAUAGCAGGUGAAAUGAGAGAUUUUCAUUACCUGAAUGUGACAGUAUUGGAAUCUAUACUGUGUAUUGGUUGUUACCUUUUCUUUCUUGUAUUUAGUUACCAAUUUAUAAGCAUGUUGGACACUGCCUCUUACAGUUGUGUGGAGAGUACCACUGUAAGCUUUGAACCUUCAUGUAUGGGCAACAACAGACACAUGCACAGAAACAGCAUGUAUAUUUUCAAAUGCAAGAGCAUCCUACUUGCCUUCAAAAAUACACAAUAAAUAUCCUUGCCUCCUUGUCCUUUUUGCAUUUUAAGAUCAUUACCCUCAUUGUUUUGCUUUAGUAGGUCAAACAAUGCUGAGUCAGCUUUUUAAAAGCAUGUUUUUGAAAUUAACAAUUUGGUUUUAUUG